rfam:Capsicum annuum cultivar Zunla-1 chromosome 2, whole genome shotgun sequence
GGGCCUAUAGCUCAGAAGAUUAGAGCACGUGGCUACAAACCACGAUGUCGGGGGUUCGAAUCCCUCCUCGCCCA